rnacentral:misc_RNA from 1 species
GAUGAAGAACGUAGCGAAAUGCGAUAAGUAGUGUGAAUUGCAGAAUUCAGUGAAUCAUCGAAUCUUUGAACGCACAUUGCGCCCCUUGGUAUUCCAUGGGGCAUGCCUGUUCGAGCGUCAUCUAUACCCUCAAGCUCUGCUUGGUGUUGGGCGUCUGUCCCGCCCCCGCGCGUGGACUCGCCCCAAAUCCAUUGGCAGCGUUCCUUGCCCCCUCUCGCGCAGCACAUUGCGCUUCUCGAGGGCGGCUCCGGGACGCGAUCCAGCAAGAUGACCACCGUCUUUGACCUCGGAUCAGGUAGGGAUACCCGCUGAACUUAAGCAUAUCAAUAAGCGGAGGA